GACGAACGCUGGCGGCGUGCUUAACACAUGCAAGUCGAACGAAGAGCGAUGGAAGCUUGCUUCUAUCAAUCUUAGUGGCGAACGGGUGAGUAACGCGUAAUCAACCUGCCCUUCAGAGGGGGACAACAGUUGGAAACGACUGCUAAUACCGCAUACGAUCUAAUCUCGGCAUCGAGGAUAGAUGAAAGGUGGCCUCUACAUGUAAGCUAUCACUGAAGGAGGGGAUUGCGUCUGAUUAGCUAGUUGGAGGGGUAACGGCCCACCAAGGCGAUGAUCAGUAGCCGGUCUGAGAGGAUGAACGGCCACAUUGGGACUGAGACACGGCCCAGACUCCUACGGGAGGCAGCAGUGGGGGAUCUUCCGCAAUGGACGAAAGUCUGACGGAGCAACGCCGCGUGAGUGAUGACGGCCUUCGGGUUGUAAAGCUCUGUUAAUCGGGACGAAAGGCCUUCUUGCGAAUAGUGAGAAGGAUUGACGGUACCGGAAUAGAAAGCCACGGCUAACUACGUG
rnacentral:rRNA from 1 species